AGUGAACGCUGGCGGCGUGCCUAAUACAUGCAAGUCGAACGAAGUGGCGCACGGGUGAGUAAUAUAUAGUUAAUCUGCCCUACACAGAGGAACAACAGUUGGAAACGACUGCUAAUACCUCAUAGUGUAGGAUGAGACUAUAUCGUAUCAGCUGGUUGGUAAGGUAAUGGCUUACCAAGGCUAUGACGCGUAACUGGUCUGAGAGGAUGAUCAGGUAGAUUGGAACUGAGACACGGUCCAAACUCCUACGGGAGGGGGCAGGAAGGAAUAUUGCGCAAUGGUGGGAACCCUGACGCAGCAACGCCGCGUGGAGGAUGACACUUUUCGGAGCGUAAACUCCUUUUAUCAGGAAAGCGUUACCAACAGAAUAAGCACCGGCUAACUUCGUGCCAGCAGCCGCGGUAAUUC
rnacentral:rRNA from 1 species